rnacentral:lncRNA from 1 species
UUCUUUCUUAAGCCGAAAACACUAAGAACUUGGGGGGAAGCUUCGGUUGAGCUUUAGUCCUUCGGUUUGGUGAGUAAAUCAUGCUCAUUUUUAGUAAUUUUUAUGUUUUUAAACUUGUAUUAGUUUAAUCUAAUUAACUCGAGGAUUAAUUUGUCGUCAAACGUUAUAAAUUUUUCCAUUGAUGAGUUGUGUUGUUUCUUGAAGUUUAUAUAAAGACUUUUAAGCUUUGUUGUUGUGCUUAAUUAUUUUGUAAAAUAAUUUUGAUGAUUUUAACGUUUAAGGACUAAAUUAUUAAAAUGAUAAAAGUACUUGGACUUGAUGUGAAAUAAUUGUAUGUAGGGGCUGUGAUGAGACCCUAGAUGAUUCGACUGAGCUUAGAAUUUGAUGGAAAUGGUUAAUUUGCUUGUUUAGGCCUUAGGGACUAAAUUGAAUAAAAGUGAAAAUUGAAGAUAAUUUUAUAAAAUAACAAUAAGGGACCUAAUUACAUGAAAUGGAUUAAUUAUGCUGUUAUUUUGGUUAGUUGAAUGAAACUAUUGUUUUAAAUCAAAAAGGUAUUGACGAUCGUGGAAAGAAAAAGGUGAUAGAGUAGUUUCUAUAUUGGAACCAUUACUGCAAAUCAAUCCUGUAAGUUCGCUUAUAUAAGUAAAUUAAUGAUAAAUUUCUUAAUACUCGCUUUUACCUUAAUAAUUGUAGUGUUUCGUAAUUAUUGAAUAUUUAAUUUAAUUGGGUUCAAUAGUGAAAAGAUUUGUAUGAAUUUUAACAAAUCUGUUGUUGACUCUCAACACUUUUAUUUUAGAUAAUCCAAAACAAUCCAAAUUUAAAAUAAUUCAAGUUAAAAUUAACAUAAAUUUUUUAAAAUAUAAAAUAACUUAAUUAACAAAUCAAACAUUUUUGGUGUGGGAUUAUUUCCCAAAAUAUGUUAUCUUUCUGAAAGUAGGUGGAAUGAAACUCAAGUAUUUUGUUUCUAAUUUUAAACUAAACCACAAUCUAUUUCUUUUAGGCACUAAAUGAUUUGAUAAAUACCGCAAAAUUAAAUUGCUCAAACCUAUUUUGACUACAAUUGAGAAUCUAAAUCAAAGUCUAGCCUUAAUUGAUUUUAUACAAAUGAUAAAGCUAUCUAUAAAUGAUGAAGAAACAAACCGUGUGGGUCCUUUCCUCGUCCUUUUCCAUAGCAUCUCAUUUUAGUUUUAAAAUUAAAUCAUAUUAAAGAGGUGCAUUCUGGUCAAACUUUAAGAGGUGGUUGGAUGGAGAGAAGAGUUUGUUGGGUAGGUGGUUGGUUAAGAUUAGAUUUUUUUUUUUUGGUUAUUUGUUUAUUUGAAAAAUAUAAAUAAAUCUGAUAAACUCAAAAUCCCUCCCCUUUUCCCUCACCUUGCUUUUUGUUUUCCCAUAGUCCUAUUUCUUUUUCUUUUUCCAUUCUUCACCUGAGUUUUGAGAAGAAUUGACGAAUUGUUCUUUUGAAGUACUUGAUCUCUAGUGCUUUGCUUUCUUUAAUUCUUGAUUUUCAAUUCGCUAGGGGGGUGUUCAUGUGUUUAGGCUUCUAUGUAAUUGGUAAGUUCGUCUUUUUUUUUUUGUUUGAGGGUUAUAGAACAGUUCUUUUAUUUUUAUUUUUGUUAAGAGAUGGUGGUUAAAGUGUAAUUGAUUGAUUGGCUUAUAGGUGAGGUUUGUGAGACGGACGAUCUCUCGGCAAGUUAUGUAAUAGCCCAAAUUUCAGCGACGUAGGAAAUAGUGGUUCGAGACCAUUAAAUUUGGCAAAUGAACUCGUAAAUUAUAUUAUUUAAUUUUUACGAGCCAAAUGUAACUUUUAAAAGAUUUUUGAAAUAGUAAACCGUGUUUUAUAAAGAUUUAUUUGGUUAAGAAAUUGAAGAAAAGAGGCAUUGAGAUCUCAGUGUUAUAAAAUAGCCAUAAAUAUUUUUAUGAAUAUUUACGAAGUGUUAAUAAAGUAGUAUUAAAAAUUUGUCAGAAAAUUUUAACGAUUCGGUAGUUAAUUAGAUAAAAAGAACUAAAUUAAAAAAGUGCAAAACUUGCUAAAGUGAUUAAAUAGCUUAACCAUUAAAUAGGGAAGAACUAAAAGGGAAAUAGACCAUUUUAAAAUGGUUGAGGCGGCA